rnacentral:rRNA from 1 species
AACGAACGCUGGCGGCAGGCUUAACACAUGCAAGUCGAACGCCCCGCAAGGGGAGUGGCAGACGGGUGAGUAACGCGUGGGAAUCUACCUAGUUCUACGGAACAACUGAGGGAAACUUCAGCUAAUACCGUAUACGCCCUACGGGGGAAAGAUUUAUCGGAAUUAGGAUGAGCCCGCGUAAGAUUAGCUAGUUGGUGGGG